UUCCGACCAGGAAAGGGAAGAAGGAGCCGCUGACUGAAUCUGCCGCUGUUGUCCUGCUGAGAGCUGAAACAUUACAGAGACUCAACAGGUACAGGGAGUUGACCCGUUACCUGAAGGUGGUUCAUAGUGGGAACACAGAACUUCUCCAGGCGGUGCGGGAUCUGAUCCCUCUCUUCCUGAUGAAGGCCGGGGACUUUAGCUCCGCCUCUCC